rnacentral:rRNA from 1 species
UACGAAGGGGGCUAGCGUUGCUCGGAAUCACUGGGCGUAAAGGGUGCGUAGGCGGGUCUUUAAGUCAGGGGUGAAAUCCUGGAGCUCAACUCCAGAACUGCCUUUGAUACUGAAGAUCUUGAGUUCGGGAGAGGUGAGUGGAACUGCGAGUGUAGAGGUGAAAUUCGUAGAUAUUCGCAAGAACACCAGUGGCGAAGGCGGCUCACUGGCCCGAUACUGACGCUGUGGCACGAAAGCGUGGGGAGCAAACAGG